rnacentral:miRNA from 3 species
GCGACCCAUACUUGGUUUCUG